rnacentral:lncRNA from 1 species
UUAGGAAGCCCAGUGGACAUUUCCUGCUGCGGAGGAGCCAUUGGCAGUCCUGGUUCCACAGUUCAUGAACUGACCUGUUUUGACAGUAGACUGCAUUUGCAAUAAUGGAAUAGUCAUUUUUGUUUCUGGACUCUGUUUCAACAACUGGGGAGAAAGAGGCUGCUCUUUUUUUGUCUCAUUGUUGACAUUUCUCUGGAGGCUUUUACUGGUUUCCAAUUAUUGCAUAUGUUCCAUUAGGAUGAUUACUUGGGAAUCAGCUCAGUAAAGAGGGCACAAGUACAUGUAACAUAAGUAAUUAAUCUUUGUAAUUUACAACAUUUCAGCUUGUUAGAAACUUUUUCUGUGUAUUGUAAGGUCAAUUUUACUAUUUUUAAGUAGCACUUUUAUACAUAUCUGAAGGGUUAUUUUGAACAGAAAUGUUUUUCCUGCAUAUUAUCUAAUGGCAAGAAAGUAUAACACUACUAAACAAAGCAUAGACUAAUUAGCCUCCAGACUGUAAGUUCACUUUAGGUCAGUAAUGAUCAGGAGUUGUUCUAUGUAUGUGAAAUAAAUCAGUGAUCCCAUUUAAUGUUGGACAACUCUCCAGAUCAAAGACAGAAGGGCAUUAAUUGCUACCCUCCAGCGCUUGAGUGAGGGUUCUUUCAGUUCACGUGUGAGGCAGAAUUAGCAGAACAGUGUGAUGAAUUUGGACUUCAUGAAAGAACAGAAUUUUAUUGACAUCUCACUCUAACUUCACGUCAUUACAUUGGAUAAGGACUAACCUUGUUUGAGAUGACACUGCAGCCAGCAAUAAUCUCUCUCAAAUAGCUAAUUUAAAGCUCAUUUUCCGUGGCUUUUAAAGGUGACGUAGAACACGGUGAUUCUUAAAAACUCUUCUCAUCCAUCCAGCUUUUCUGAUUUGUAUUGGCUUUAUAGUCCCUUGAAACGCAACUGUAGACUUACCUAACAGUACAUGUAUGGGUUUAGUAAUUCUUGUUCUAGAAAACAAGCGCUUUUUUCCAGAGCCCUUUCAAAUGUUUUACACACACACAUUGACAUAUAUGGACAUUUUACAUCUAUAGAGAGGUUUUGCAUAAAUAUAUAUAUCUACAUACAUGUAUACACACAUGUGUAUACACAUAUGUACAUCUACAGGUUCUUAAUAAAACUGAACACGUUUCAAGAAGUGCUUGUGUCUUGAACACUUAGGGUGGUGUAUUAGUGCGUAUAUAUAAAAGGUAAGGAGAAAAAAAACCAAACAACAUUUUGUUUGCUUCUAGUUAUAGCUGACAAAUACAGGUUUGAGGAAAAUUUGGAAGUAUGUUCAAAUUGUAUUUCACCCUGUUUCUGGUUUGAAAGGCACAAGCUGUUCAUCGUUGGAACUUAAAAGGUCAGCAAGCAUAUUUUAAGCUAAACCUUUUGGAGGACCCAAUAUGCUUUUAGUUUGCAAGGACCACUAAAGAUCUGGGCAUUUACUUUCUCCAUAAUGUAUUCUGUAUAAGUAUUUAGUAUGUAUGCCUUCAAUUUGCCAAUGUUGCCAUGUUCUCUUCUUAAUUAUUCAUGAAAUAAAGAUUGCAAAUAGCAAAA